rnacentral:rRNA from 1 species
AUUGAACGCUGGCGGCAUGCCUUACACAUGCAAGUCGAACGGCAGCACGGGAGCUUGCUCCUGGUUGCGAGUGGCGAACGGGAGAGUAAUACAUCGGAACGUACCCAGGAGUGUGGGAUAACGUAGCGAAAGUUACGCUAAUACCGCAUACUCUGUGAGCAGGAAAGCGGGGGAUCGCAAGACCUCGCGCUCUUGGAGCGGCCGAUGUCGGAUUAGCUAGUUGGUGAGGUAAAAGCUCACCAAGGCGACGAUCCGUAGCAGGUCUGAGAGGAUGAUCUGCCACACUGGGACUGAGACACGGCCCAGACUCCUACGGGAGGCAGCAGUGGGGAAUUUUGGACAAUGGGGGCAACCCUGAUCCAGCCAUGCCGCGUGAGUGAAGAAGGCCUUCGGGUUGUAAAGCUCUUUCGGCGGGGAAGAGAUGGCAACGGCUAAUAUCCGUUGUUGAUGACGGUACCCGCAUAAGAAGCACCGGCUAACUACGUGCCAGCAGCCGCGGUAA